GUCCUCGAUCUGCUGGGGGCAGAUGAAAUGGAUGUGGCUGUCGAACCCGCCCGCAGUCAGGAUGCGCCCCUCGCCCGCGAUGGCCUCGGUGCCGGGGCCCACGAUGAUGUCCACGCCGGGCUGGGUGUCGGGAUUGCCGGCCUUGCCGAUCUUGUGGAUGCGCCCGUCCCGGAGGCCCACAUCGGCCUUGUAGAUGCCGGUCCAGUCGACGAUCAGCGCGUUGGUGAUGACGGUAUCGACCGCACCUUCGGCGCGCGUGGCCUGGCUUUGCCCCAUCCCGUCGCGGAU
rnacentral:sRNA from 1 species